rnacentral:rRNA from 1 species
AUUGAACGCUGGCGGCAUGCCUUACACAUGCAAGUCGAACGGUAACAGGUCUUCGGAUGCUGACGAGUGGCGAACGGGUGAGUAAUACAUCGGAACGUGCCUAGUAGUGGGGGAUAACUACUCGAAAGAGUGGCUAAUACCGCAUGAGAUCUACGGAUGAAAGCAGGGGAUCGCAAGACCUUGUGCUACUAGAGCGGCCGAUGGCAGAUUAGGUAGUUGGUGGGAUAAAAGCUUACCAAGCCGACGAUCUGUAGCUGGUCUGAGAGGACGAUCAGCCACACUGGGACUGAGACACGGCCCAGACUCCUACGGGAGGCAGCAGUGGGGAAUUUUGGACAAUGGGCGCAAGCCUGAUCCAGCAAUGCCGCGUGCAGGAUGAAGGCCUUCGGGAUGUAAACUGCUUUUGUACGGAACGAAAAGCCCUGGGUUAAUACCCUGGGGUCAUGACGGUACCGUAAGAAUAAGCACCGGCUAACUACGUGCCAGCAGCCGCCGAAAAAC